CAAAUGUUUACUCCCCCAUCGACUGAGUUUUAUGCUACAAAUGAAGCAUUACCUGCAGCAGAGAUUAAUAUGAGCAGUACAGAACUGACAACAUAUUCUUCCUUUUGGUCCAUCAGAUGGUAUGGCUGCAAACAUUUACCCUCCCAUCAACUGUUUGUUGUUUGGAAUGAGACAUUACCUGCAGCAGAGGUAGUUAUAACGGUGCAGAAGUAACUGUAUCUUAUUUCUUUUGCAGGUUUAUCAGAUGGCAUGGUUGCAAACAUUUACUCUCCCAUCAACUGAGUUAACUGCAGCAAAUGAGACAUUACCUGCAGCAGAGAC